rnacentral:rRNA from 1 species
CAGUCGUACCGACGAGAAAUCAGCUUAUCGUGUGUUAACUUGUGGGCGUGCGUGAGUUUCGGCCUCGCUGUUUGCAUGUUUGUGCGCUUUGGGUGUACUUUUUCGUAUGGUUGGCCAACAUCAGUUUCGAUCACUAUAAAAUGACUGGCGGAAUGUAGCUUCGAUUUCGGUUGAAGUGUUAUAGCCUCUGGUAGAUGUGGUGAUUGGGACUGAGGAUUGCAACGAAUAUCCUUUGGGCUAUCCGUCUGGCCUCUGAAAGUUGCUUGGGUGCUGAAAGCUUGCUUAUGGUUAUCUAAGUUAACGGUCAAUAGGUUAGAACGCGAUUACA